CUUCCCCAAGCCAACGUCUCCGCCGUCGGCUCCGCGGCGCCGCCAUGGCCGACGUGGAAGACGGAGAGGAAACCUGCGCCCUGGCCUCUCACUCCGGGAGCUCAGGCUCCAAGUCGGGAGGCGACAAGAUGUUCUCCCUCAAGAAGUGGAACGCGGUGGCCAUGUGGAGCUGGGACGUGGAGUGCGAUACGUGCGCCAUCUGCAGGGUCCAGGUGAUGGAUGAGGGAAUUGGAGUUCGUAAUUGGUCCGAGGCCCUGAACCUAAUAAAUGCCAGUGAAAUGGGAUUUGACUGUAGAUCUGGCUCCACAGCCCUCGCUGUCCCCUCUGUCUCACUGGCUUCUCACCAGCCUUGUCUGGAUGACCAUCGGUAGCAACCUAUUGGAAGCAUACAAAGCAGUUUAUUUUAGAGGAACUCUCAAGUGUCUUAGGGUAGAAAGUAAAAAGUUGCUUCUUAUGAGUUGCUAAAGGAAGGCUUCUGUGUCAAUGCCUGUCUUAGAUGUCAAGCUGAAAACAAACAAGAGGACUGUGUUGUGGUCUGGGGAGAAUGUAAUCAUUCCUUCCACAACUGCUGCAUGUCCCUGUGGGUGAAACAGAACAAUCGCUGCCCUCUCUGCCAGCAGGACUGGGUGGUCCAAAGAAUCGGCAAAUGAGAGUGGUUAGAAGGCUUCUUAGCGCAGUUGUUCAGAGCCCUGGUGGAUCUUGUAAUCCAGUGCCCUACAAAGGCUAGAACACUACAGGGGAUGAAUUCUUCAAAUAGGAGCCGAUGGAUCUGUGGUCCUUUGGGACUCAUCAAAGCCUUGGUUUAGCAUUUUGUCAGUUUUAUCUUCAGAAAUUCUCUGCGAUUAAGAAGAUAAUUUAUUAAAGGUGGUCCUUCCUACCUCUGUGGUGUGUGUCGCGCACACAGCUUAGAAGUGCUAUAAAAAAGGAAAGAGCUCCAAAUUGAAUCACCUUUAUAAUUUACCCAUUUCUAUACAACAGGCAGUGGAAGCAGUUUCAGAGAACUUUUUGCAUGCUUAUGGUUGAUCAGUUAAAAAAGAAUGUUACAGUAACAAAUAAAGUGCAGUUUAAAACCCAACUCUUACUCUUAAUUUGUUCCUAAUACGUAUUUUUGGCAGGGAGAGGGAACGGUCCAUGAAAUCUUUAUGUGAUAUAAGGAUUUUAAGUUUGGGCCAGUGAACAGGGUAAAUAAAAUUUAACUUUUGAGCAUAUGGAAUUUUGAUUGCCUUUAAAGUUACUAUUCUGUAUCAUUGAUUCAUCAAGAAAACCUAGAUCUGCACUCACCUCACUGUUCAAUCAUUGAGUGGUAAAGGACAGAAGUAUUUUCUAGUUCUGGUCAGAUGAUAUAAUUUUUUUUUUUUUUUUUUGUGGGGGUGAAGUCUUGCUCUGCCACCCAGGCUGGAGUGCAGUGGCAUGAUGUCAACUCACUGCAACCUCCGCCUCCCGGGUUCAAGUGAUUCUCCUGCCUCAGCCUCCCGAGUAGCUGGGAUUACAGGUGUGUGCCACCACACCCGGCUAAUUUUUGUAUUUUUAGUAGAGACGGGAUUUCCCCAUGUUGGCCAGGCUGGUCUCAAACUCCUGACCUCAGGUGAUUCGCCCACCUCAGCCUCCCAAAGUGCUGGGAUUACAGGUGUGGGCCACUGCACCUGGCCCAGAUGAUAUAAUUUAACUGUGUUUUAGGUAACAUGUUAAUGAGGGAAAAUGUUUACCAGUGUAGCAUUGGAUCAAAAAGUUUAUCACACAGUGUUUUAAUAAAUGGUUUAUUCUGCUUACCUUAUUUGAAUUGUCAUUAUAAUUUUAUAUGCAACCUUAAUUUGUCAAGUAAAUACUUUCAUUUAAUUUGAAAGAAUUCAUAUUCAUUUGCUCUUUCAUUUGACAAUAAUAAAAUUUAAGGUUUAUUACCUGGAAAGAGUGCAAGAAAAUACUAAACAACUUUAUCAAACUGAUUCACACUGAGGGGAGGUUAUUUUGUAACAAAUAAUGGACCACAAGUUCAUUUUGUAUUCUUCUGUAGUAGAGGCUACUGAUAUGAAUUUAAGAAAAAACCUUAGAAUCUUAACUUUUCACAUCUGCAGAUGCAGUGUGCCAUUCUGAAUUUUUCAAUCUAAGGGAUGUGGAUACAUAGAAUGUUUAAAAAGAUAACAAUUAGAAUGAAAAAUUAAAAUUAUGUAUGCUUUUAUAUGGGUUACUUUUUAUUGAUCACAUUUCUCUGGAAAUUUUUCUUUAUAUUUUUUCACAGUUGUCUUUCUAGCUACUGAAAAAAUUAUACAAAUAUCUUUGGCCAUUUAAAUGUUUAUCAUUGUGCAGUGAACUGUUUUAGUAACUUUCUGUUUGACCUUUUUAGAAGGUUGCAUCCUUAAAAUGUGAACCAGAUACAUGGCUUUGCAUUGAAGAGGAAAGCAGUAGAAUGUCAGGUUACUUUAGGCAGUGUGACAGUAUAUAAAUGAAAUGUGGAGGAUGGUGGUAACAAUUUGAUUUUCCACACAGCAAAACCACAGUCCCGCCACCUAACAAAGCCCUGUUUAUGCCACACACCAGCAUCUGAGGGAAGAGGAGGCACUGUGACAAAGCAGCGCUGAUGCUGCUCAGCCUGCGAUGAUUACAGCUCAUCUGCACAGCCAUCUGAAAGUUUAAUACAUACUCAUCAGAGGGAACAUGCCGGGACAAUUUUGGGUUCCAAUACAAAAGUUAAGCAUCAAACAGGUUUUUCUUUCCAUUUGAUUAAAUGUGCUGAUUUUAUUUUACUGUUGCAUUAGAAACAAACAAGUUAUCUUUCGCUAUUUAAUUUUCCCUCUAUGCAAAUUGUGUUAUUACAGCUGACCGCUAUCAGUAAAUCUUAAUUCUGUCAGUCCCAUUGCUUCCUUUUUUAUAAAAAUACUGUGUCCCCCUUUACUGUCAUGAAGUGAAAUUCAUAAAUAUAUUUCCUACACAUAUAA